GGAAAGGCGCGCGAUACAGGGUGACAGCCCCGUACACAAAAAUGCACAUGCUGUGAGCUCGAUGAGUAGGGCGGGACACGUGGUAUCCUGUCUGAAUAUGGGGGGACCAUCCUCCAAGGCUAAAUACUCCUGACUGACCGAUAGUGAACCAGUACCGUGAGGGAAAGGCGAAAAGAACCCCGGCGAGGGGAGUGAAAAAGAACCUGAAACCGUGUACGUACAAGCAGUGGGAGCACGCUUAGGCGUGUGACUGCGUACCUUUUGUAUAAUGGGUCAGCGACUUAUAUUCUGUAGCAAGGUUAACCGAAUAGGGGAGCCGAAGGGAAACCGAGUCUUAACUGGGCGUUAAGUUGCAGGGUAUAGACCCGAAACCCGGUGAUCUAGCCAUGGGCAGGUUGAAGGUUGGGUAACACUAACUGGAGGACCGAACCGACUAAUGUUGAAAAAUUAGCGGAUGACUUGUGGCUGGGGGUGAAAGGCCAAUCAAACCGGGAGAUAGCUGGUUCUCCCCGAAAGCUAUUUAGGUAGCGCCUCGUGAAUUCAUCUCCGGGGGUAGAGCACUGUUUCGGCAAGGGGGUCAUCCCGACUUACCAACCCGAUGCAAACUGCGAAUACCGGAGAAUGUUAUCACGGGAGACACACGGCGGGUGCUAACGUCCGUCGUGAAGAGGGAAACAACCCAGACCGCCAGCUAAGGUCCCAAAGUCAUGGUUAAGUGGGAAACGAUGUGGGAAGGCCCAGACAGCCAGGAUGUUGGCUUAGAAGCAGCCAUCAUUUAAAGAAAGCGUAAUAGCUCACUGGUCGAGUCGGCCUGCGCGGAAGAUGUAACGGGGCUAAACCAUGCACCGAAGCUGCGGCAGCGACGCUGAUGCGUUGUUGGGUAGGGGAGCGUUCUGUAAGCCUGCGAAGGUGUGCUGUGAGGCAUGCUGGAGGUAUCAGAAGUGCGAAUGCUGACAUAAGUAACGAUAAAGCGGGUGAAAAGCCCGCUCGCCGGAAGACCAAGGGUUCCUGUCCAACGUUAAUCGGGGCAGGGUGAGUCGACCCCUAAGGCGAGGCCGAAAGGCGUAGUCGAUGGGAAACAGGUUAAUAUUCCUGUACUUGGUGUUACUGCGAAGGGGGGACGGAGAAGGCUAUGUUGGCCGGGCGACGGUUGUCCCGGUUUAAGCGUGUAGGCUGGUUUUCCAGGCAAAUCCGGAAAAU
rnacentral:rRNA from 1 species